AACUAAGUUUGCUCUGGGUAUGAGCUUUCAUGUGCAUGCACACUUCUUCAGGUACCUGAAGUGUACAGAUACAGAAGUGUAUCUGAAGAAGUGUGCAUGCACACGAAGGCUUAGGUACUACUGGACAAUUAUUU